rnacentral:rRNA from 1 species
GAUGAACGCUAGCUACAGGCUUAACACAUGCAAGUCGAGGGGCAGCAUGAUUGAAGCUUGCUUCAAUCGAUGGCGGCCGGCGCACGGGUGAGUAACACGUAUCCAACCUGCCGAUAACCCGGGGAUAGCCUUUCGAAAGAAAGAUUAAUACUCGUAAGUAUAGUAUUUCUGUACGGCUUCACUAUUAAAGAACUUCGGUUUUCGAUGGGGAUGCGUUCCUUUAGAUAGUUGGCGGGGUAACGGCCCACCAAGUCAACGAUGGAUAGGGGUUCUGAGAGGAAGCUCCCCCACAAUGGAACUGAGACACGGUCCAAACUGCUACGGGAGGCAGCAGUAUGGAAUAUUAGUCAAUGGACGAGAGUCUGAACCAGCCAAGUAGCGUGAAGGAUGACUGCGCUAUGGGUAGUAAACUUCUUUUAAACGAGAAUAAAGUGGGGUAUGCAUACUCCUUUGUAUGUACCGUAUGAAUAAGGAUCGGCUAACUCCGUG